CAAUCGAUGAAAUGAGGAAAAUACCUCCAUGUGUCAGACUGAAUGAGCCAGAUCAUCUUGAAACUCUUAUUUAAUACUUUGUUCUAACGAUCUCUUUUCUGGUGAUUGGUUAGGUUUUGCAUCCCUGGAUCAGGAAAGAAAAAGACAGAAAAACACAAUCGCUCAAGCUGCUCCAUCAUCAGUGAACAAGUGGCUGGGCUCCAAUGUAUGUGUUUUAGUCGGUGCAGCGGGUGAGACCAGCAGGGUGGAUCAGCACUGUGGACGCGGUUGCUGUUGGAGAGUUCAGCCAGUAGGUCUCAUACACAUGUGGCAGGUGACAGAAGUCACACACAUGCAGAGUCACUGCUGCCUGCACGUGAGUCGGCUGCAUCACGGCUGCCUGUGUAUCAGGAGCCUCCAUUACGCUUGUCUGUAAGAUAGAAGGCUCCAUCACUGCUGUCUGUGACGGAGAAAGCACCAUCACUGCUGUGUGAGAGAGAGAAGGCUCCAUCACUGCUGUGUGAGAGAGAGAAGGCUCCAUCACUGCUGUGUGAGAGAGAGAAGGCUCCAUCACUGCUGUGUGAGAGAGAGAAGGCUCCAUCACUGCUGUGUGAGAGAGAGAAGGCUCCAUCACUGCUCUGUGAGAGAGAGAAGGCUCCAUUGACGCUCUCUGUGACGGAGAAGGCUCCUUCACUGCUGUCUGCACUGGGGUCACACACAGCUUCUUGGCCCGUUGAGUGGCCUCUCUGAGUUUAGAUGCAGACGCUGCCACACAAACAAAGUCGUAAUAUUGUUGAUAUUAUGUUGAAUAAAUUCACAUUUCCUUUUAAAA